rnacentral:ribozyme from 14 species
UAAUAUCGCAGAACAGAAAAAAAAAGAAAAAAAAAAAAAAGGAUCAUGCAACACAGAUCUGGUCAGUCAAUCGCGCCACAAAACAUUAAGAUACUAACCUUUGCAUUUUCCUCUCUGUGCAAUAAAUUAAAAAACAGUAAGAAACA